rnacentral:rRNA from 1 species
UUUCGGACGAGAAGGUUGACUGGAAAGUGGCGAAAGGGUGAGNNUACGCGUGGGUAUCUGCGGCCGAGGCGGGGAUAGCUCCGCGAAAGUGGAGUUAAACCGGAUGUGGUCCCCCGAUGCAUAUCGGGGUGUCCAAAGGUGGGGACCUUCGGGCCUACCGCUUGGGGAUGAACCCGCGUCCCAUCAGCUUGUUGGUAGGGUAACGGCCUACCAAGGCUUACGGGUAGCUGGUCUGAGAGGAUGGUCAGCCAGGGUGGGACUGAGACACUGCCCAGACUCCUACGGGAGGCUGCAGUCGAGAAUCAUUCGCAAUGCGCGAAAGCGUGACGAUGCGACGCCGCGUGCAGGAUGAAGGCCUUCGGGUUGUAAACUGCUGUCAUGGGGGAGUAACGACUGCGGUGCGAAUAGCACCGUGGAGUGAUAGUACCCCAAGAGGAAGCCACGGCUAACUCUGUGCCAGCAGCCGCGGUAAUACAGAGGUGGCGAGCGUUGUUCGGAUUUACUGGGCGUAAAGGGUGUGUAGGCGGACUCGCAUGUCAGAUGUGAAAUCUCACCGUCCAUCGGUGAACGUGCAUUUGAAACUGCGGGGCUAGAGUACGGUAGAGGAGAGCGGAAUUCUCGGUGUAGCGGUGAAAUGCGUAGAUAUCGAGAAGAACGCCGGGCGGCGAAAGCGGCUCUCUGGA